GCCCGGGUAGCUCAGCCUGGAGAGAGCACCUGCCUUCUAAGCAGGGGGUCGCAGGUUCAAAUCCUGUCUCGGGCG
rnacentral:tRNA from 1 species